rnacentral:rRNA from 1 species
GACGAACGCUGGCGGCGUGCCUAAUACAUGCAAGUCGAACGAAGUGGGGACGGGUGAGUAACACGUGGGUAACCUCCCAUCAGAGGGGAUAACACUUGGAAACAGGUGCUAAACCGAUACUGAUGGAUGGACCCGCGGUGCAUUAGCUAGUGGGGGGGGUAACGGCUCACCAAGGCCACGAUGCAUAGCCGACCGGUGAGGGGGACCGGCCAAACUGGAACUGAGACACGGCCCAGACUCCUACGGGAGGCAGCAGGAGGGAAUCUUCGGCAAUGGACGAAAGUCUGACCGAGCAACGCCGCGUGAGUGAAGAAGGUUUUCGGAUCGUAAAACUCUGUUGUUAGAGAAGCGGUAUCUAACCAGAAAGCCACGGCUAACUACGUGCCAGCCGCCGCGGUAAUUC